GACGAACGCUGGCGGCGUGCUUAACACAUGCAAGUCGAACGAAGAGCGAUGGAAGCUUGCUUCUAUCAAUCUUAGUGGCGAACGGGUGAGUAACGCGUAAUCAACCUGCCCUUCAGAGGGGGACAACAGUUGGAAACGACUGCUAAUACCGCAUACGAUCUAAUCUCGGCAUCGAGGAUAGAUGAAAGGUGGCCUCUACAUGUAAGCUAUCACUGAAGGAGGGGAUUGCGUCUGAUUAGCUAGUUGGAGGGGUAACGGCCCACCAAGGCGAUGAUCAGUAGCCGGUCUGAGAGGAUGAACGGCCACAUUGGGACUGAGACACGGCCCAGACUCCUACGGGAGGCAGCAGUGGGGAAUCUUCCGCAAUGGACGAAAGUCUGACGGAGCAACGCCGCGUGAGUGAUGACGGCCUUCGGGUUGUAAAGCUCUGUUAAUCGGGACGAAAGGCCUUCUUGUGAAUAGGGAGAAGGAUUGACGGUACCGGAAUAGAAAGCCACGGCUAACUACGUG
rnacentral:rRNA from 1 species